UGUGUGUAUUGCUUAGAAGUCCUUGCUAUAGUUUUUUAAGUGCGGUUUGAGGGAUUUAUUUUUAUGUAGUGCAGUCAAAUAUGUCAUCUGAAGCUGAGCCAUAUAUACUUCAAUCCUUUAGAAUGUUUGGAAAAGGACUGGCUUUUUCUGAUCCAGAUUUUCUUGGCAUCACUAUUAAAGCACCUGCAAAGGAGAAAAAAAAAAAAAGGGAAGAAAAAAACAUUUCACAUCCAUCUGGCUUGGUUACAUGUAAACUGCCUACAUUAUGUCAAGUGCAAUAAAGGCAGGAAUAAAAACAAAACCACUAUCAGCUAAGAGAAUUUUAUUUAUUCCUUUUUGAGCUACGGAAGCAACUUCCUGCCUAGUACUACAGCCGAAGCUAGCAAUGAUCAUGCAACUGUAGUGUGUGUUAGCAUAUGUAGCCGAGGUAGAGAGAAAGAGGCUUACUCAUGUGGGAUGAGUUUUGCUGAGGCUGAAAAGAUUUGCCUUUGAAAAAUGUUAGGUGGUUUAGAGCAAGUGCUGGUCACUCCCCUGCUGGAAAAGAAGAAAGUUGAGGAGGAGCCCUUGCUUUUUUUACAGAACUAAAAAUCUGAAACUUGCUUGUACAUCAUGCUUUUUAAAGCACUCCCCCAAAGAAUUCUAGGAACUGUGUUUUCAUUUCUUUCAUUUCGUUACAUAUUUUGUGUUUUCGCUUUGUAUUUUUAUGCUGCAAACUCCCCUGUGAUCUUCGAAUGAAGGGAGCCAUAUGAAUUUCAAUAAAUCAAUAGGAAACCCCUCACGGAACUACAAAAUUCCCAGCACCCUUAAUGAACUAUAGUUCCCGUGAUUCUUUUGAAGGGUGCUUUAAAGGAACAAUGGGUACGCAACCUAUACAGUCAUACCUCGGGUUAAAGAUGCUUCAGGUUAAAUCUUUUCAGAUUGCGUCCCGCGGUGACCCGGAAGUAACAGAACGGGUUACUUCCGGGUUUCACCGCUCGCGCAUGCGCAGACACUCGGAAUGAUGUCACGCACAUGUGUAGAUGUGGCAAAUUGCGACCCGCGCAUGCGUAGACACGCAGACACAGGUUGCGUUCUGCUCAUGACGCGAACGGGGCUCUGGAAUGGAUCCCAUUUGCAUCCAGAGGUACCACUGUAAGGCAUGGGGGUUGUGUCUUCUUCUAUGUCAUCACAAGUACUGUCCAAUAGGUGCCUGCGGCAAGUGAAGAAGAGCUCUUUCACAGGAGCUGGACUCUGCUAACUCGGGACCAAACUGGAUAGUUGAUGCAGUUAUUAUAUCUUGCCCUUCUGUUGGAUGCCCAGGUAGCAUCUGUGGCAUGAGGCACCUUCCACCAGCUUAGUCUGGUGCUCCAGCUGUGUCUCCUCCUCCUGAAAAGAAAUAUCCUGGCCACUGUUACCCAGCACCUGGAUUAGAUUGGACCACUGCAGUGCAUUGUAUGUGGAACCACAUUUGUAAACUACUCAGAAAGCUCCAGUUGGCACAAAAUGCGAUAGCUGGGUCACUGGUUGGCACUAACUCCAGUGAACCCCAUUGGCUUCCCAUUUGUUCCAGGGCACAAUUCAAAGUGCCGGCUUUUAAUCUUGAAAGUCGUUUCGGGCUUUGGACCUGGAUAUCUGAAGGACUGGUUGCUGCCUUAUGAAUUUGCCUGGAGGGUGUAUGGUUGGGGUUCCUGCCUUCCUCUGUGGAUGUCUAUAUACCUAAUAUGCCCUUCACAUCUAUAACGCCUGACACCAGCAUUCAGCCUGCUCAUAUCAUUUCAGAUAGAAACAAGCAAACUACUGGCAUAUCUAGACCUUUAUUAUUUAUUUUAAGGCCAAUAUCUAUUGAACUUGAUUUAUUUACCUUUUGCAACUGCUUCGAAACCACACACUGCAAUGAUCCUGUCAGUUUAGCUGGGUCUGCCGUGGCUAGAGCGAUGGCAUCAACGUACAGACUCAGUUGAAAGAUUUUUAUCUCCAAUUUCAGGAAACCAUAUGUUUAGUUUAUUUAUUUCCAUUGCCAAAGGCCUGGAUCCGCAAGUAUCUUGCUUGUAGAAAGGCACUUCUGCUCAUGCAAGGAGCACCCUCAAUUUCUGCCACCUGCUACCCCAGCUGCAGCUGCCUGUGCACACUUAUUAACCACACUUGGGAUGGCUGGAGAGGUUGUGCCUUGACUGCAAUGGUGAUCUUACGAGGCAAGAAUCAGCAGUUUUCCUCCCCUGUAUGCUGAGAAGCUAACCUGCCCAGCUCAUUUCCAGAUUACCUGUUUAUUGAGCAUUCAUCCUGAUUUGUCUGCACAAGUGUGGGGAGGUUAUAAGACGUCAUCUGUUUAUUGAGCAUUUGUUCUGAUUUGUUUGCAGGAAGGUCAGAUGAUGAUUUCUUAAGCAGGUGUUAUCUCACACCUUCCCCCCCCCCUCACUUUUCUUACUGUAAAAUAUCUGGCUCUGUGGGGAAAUGAUUUUGUUGCUCAAGAGCACCAAAUCAUAUUGAACUGUGCAACCUGAAUCCACCGGUGUGUUAUAUAGAAUCCCUCCUGAAAAUAGCAAACAUCUGGAAGUGCCCCUUUUCUCUGUUUGGUGCGAGAGGUCUCCAGACCCACAGGCAUAGGAGUGCCACCUUAUUUCUUAGCCUCUUGCCUUUAUUUCUUUAGGCAAAACCUCAAAAGGAGAUGGGAUACCCACUUUAACUCCCUAGAGCAGGCAGCAAACAAUCCACAAAGAACUAGAGCAAAUGUAAAACGUAAGCAGGGGUCCCCAAAUGGAUAAGAGUUGUUUGUGAGGGUAAGUUAGCUUGUGUUCUGAUCUAAGAGGUGGCAGGGAUGUUAUUGUGGUGGUAGGGGACCUGUUCAGUCUCUGAAGGCAAUUCUGGGCAUUUAAGAAACAAACAAGUCCAAAAACAUAGUCGCUACUGUGGUACCUCGGGUUACAGACGCUUCAGGUUACAGACUCCGCUAACCCGGAAGUAGUACCUCGGGUUAAGAACUUUGCUUCAGGAUGAGAACAGAAAUCAUGCUCCAGCGGCAGCGGAAGGCCCCAUUAGCUAAAGUGGUACCUCAGGUUAAGAACAGUUUCAGGUUAAGAAUGGACCUCCAGAACAAAUUAAGUUCUUAACCCGAGGUACCACUGUACUUAGUUGAUGCAGGAGAUUCCAAUGCGUGUCCCCGAAGUUGUAAAACUGUUAGUUGCCACAGGGAAUAAAAAUAUCUUCCUCCAGGAAGUGCUUCUCAUGCGAAAAUCACAUGUUCUCAGCAGUCGGACUGUAAUUUUACCCUGCUGGUUAAGUUGUGAUUUUUCUGCACCGCGGCAGUGCAUCUGUUCUUGUUUUCUAUGUGCAGCCGAAUCGCAUAGGAUGUUGCACUUCCAAUACAACUGCUGCACAUAGGAGUGUCAUUGCUGCACACAGAACAAGAUCUGGGAAAGCUGGACACUAACUGAAAAUGAGUUGCUCUUGCAACUUCACAUACUUACCAGGACUUUACAUUUACAUUUUCUUUUGGCUAAUAUAAUUUUCUCCGUGGAGAUUUUUUCUCUCUCCCUUUUCCAUGAGUUGUGGCAAGCGCACAUUCUUUUCAUAAAUUAAUUUGUCCUUGCAAAGCAUAAUGUCAGCAUCUUUUUAUUCCCCUUUGUGCCUGACAUUUAAUAGGUUUUUGUUUUCCAUGGCAAAAGAUACCGCUCUGUUAUUUAGGUAGUAGAGGAGGAGAGAGGGAGGUUAAGCCAAAAGCAAUAAAAAAAAAAGCAUAACCGCAAUUAAAUGUCAGCUGAUCAGCUUUUAGAAAACAGUCAGCUCCUUCUCUCCCCUUCUCCACUCUCCUUCCUUCAAAGUGCUGUAAUUUAGCAGAAAGCCAAAGCAGCAAAUGAAGCACUUGUUUCAUGCAGCCAGCUUUUAGCAAUGUGUUAUUGGUUAUUCAAAGGCAAAAUGAGAUGUGAAACAUGAACUGUCUCUCCUCCCCACUGUGGGUCCAUUAAAUUAUAGAGACAAUAUUGUAGUGCUUAGCUAGCAUAUUUAUUGCAAGAUGUAUCCCAUUAUUAUAUGCUAGAGAAAUGAGUGCUUGUAAUGAACCAAUUAGCAAGGAGGCAGCUGUUUGGAUUAUUACACCCAUUUUAUAGGUGGGUAAUCAGAUCCUGCAGUCCGUGGUAGAGCUGGACAGAUGCUUCCUUAAACAUGGUGCCCUAUGCGACCUGAGGAUUCCCAUUUUGAAGGCACACGUUUUGUACAACAUAAAUGCAGUGUGUGAUUCUUCAUGCGCUAUGCUAUAAGAAGGCAUGCAAGUGUUCCAAGGGGAAGUGCUUGUUUUCAGUGCUCAGUUUGUGUGGUGGUACAUUUUGAAUUCUCAUGUUGCAGGAUGAUUUAUUUAUUUUUUAAGAUUCUGAAAUGUGUGCAGGAAUUUUCUAAGCUUGCUGCUUUAUUGGGACUGUAAUAUAGCUGAUUC